GCCUGCUGCCACACCACCUUGAAUAAGCCUGAUCUCGUCUGAUCUCAGAAGCUAAGCAACGUUGGGCUUGGUUAGUACUUGGAUGGGAGACCACCUGGGAAUAUCAAGUGCUGUAGGCAUU
rnacentral:rRNA from 1 species